rnacentral:rRNA from 1 species
UACGUAGGGUGCGAGCGUUGUCCGGAAUUAUUGGGCGUAAAGAGCUCGUAGGCGGUCUGUCGCGUCUGCUGUGAAAUCCCGAGGCUCAACCUCGGGUCUGCAGUGGGUACGGGCAGACUAGAGUGCGGUAGGGGAGAGUGGAACUCCUGGUGUAGCGGUGAAAUGCGCAGAUAUCAGGAGGAACACCGAUGGCGAAGGCAGGUCUCUGGGCAUUAACUGACGCUGAGGAGCGAAAGCAUGGGGAGCGAACAGG